AGUUCCAUAGUGUAGUGGUUAUCACGUCUGCUUUACAUGCAGAAGGUCCUGGGUUCGAGCCCUACUGAAACGG
rnacentral:tRNA from 1 species